rnacentral:lncRNA from 1 species
UGGUUUUAUAAAGAGGAGUUCCUCUACACAAGCUUGCUCUUCCCUGCUGCCAUGUAAGAUGUGACUUGCUCCUCCUUGCCUUCCACCAUGAUUGUGAGGCCUCCCCAGCCACAUGGAACUACCAGCCAACACUUACGGAAAAUAGAACCUACGUUGAAAUAUUGGGGGCUGGUUUCCUCUAUACAAGAGGAGUCAUGAAUAUUUAUGAAAGGAGAAAUCGCACAUGCACAGGUUCAUAGGCAGAAGGGACUUACCUUGCCUCAGUAUGAAUGAUGGAUAACAGAACCAGAGACUGGGAACAUGGAGGCCAAGGGGGAACUCCUCGGGAGCUGCAACUGACACACAAAGGAAAUUUUAAGCAAGGCAGUGGAAAUGAGCAAGGCAAUUUACUUCUAUAGAAGGGUGCGCCCUCACAGAUGGAGCAAUGAAUGUGAAUUCGAAUUGUUGCAGAAUGUCAAAGGAGAACUCUUCCUGCUGUCUCAGAAUUUCAGCUGGAGCUACAGAGAUCAAAGAGAGGUUGUUAAAUACCCACUAAUUUGAAAGCGAGUUGACAGGCCAGCUGUGCAGAACAUGCUAAGGGGUAACCCCAAAAGACAGAUAAGCCUUUGUCUAUGACGUGCCUCAAGCCAAUACAAGGAGAAAAAAGAAGAGCAAUAAAGGAAAGACCAUGAGGAUGGGUUUCUGUGAGAAGAGCUGUAGAUUUUUCCUUUCUUCUCCAUACCUUGAGCCAAGUUGGGAGGUUGUAAAAAUCCUCUGACAGAGCUUGGGUGUGCUUCCUGCCAGGAGGAAGACUAACCUGGAACAAGCGGGUGGGGAGAGACCUUCAGAGAAUUUGGACUCCCUACAGUCGGGGGCACAGGGUUUUGUGUUGACUUGCACUUGUAGAAGUCCGAUGCCAGCCGGGCGCGGUGGCUCACGCCUGUAAUCCUAGCACUUUGGGAGGCUGAGGCGGGUGGAUCACGAGGUCAGGAGAUCGAGACCAUUCUGGCUAACACUGUGAAACCCCGUCUCUACUAAAAAAAAAAUGCAAAUUAGCCAGGUGUGGUGGCGGCGCCUGUAGUCCCAGUUACUCGGGAGGCUGAGGCAGGAGAAUGGCGUGAACCCGGGAAGCGGAGCUUGUAGUGAGCCGAGAUUGCACCACUGCACUCCAGCCUGGGCGACAGAGCGAGACUCUGUCAAAAAAAAAAAAAGAAAAAAGAAAAAAAAGAAAGAAAGAAGGAAAGAAAAAAUUCCGAUGCCAAUAGGCUGGGCUGCCUGUAGUGGGCCUUAUAGAAGGAAGAGCCAAGAGGCUUUUGAUGGAAGUGAAUUCUAUUUUUGCUCAUCCCAAACCAAGGGUACUAUUUCCAGAGGUCUCUUGGAACUCUAGAAGCUAUCUGGCCUUCGAUUGUUUGGAAAAUGAUCCCACCCCAAAGGGCUUCCUGCUGAGGAAAGAUGAAUCUGGUUGAAAGAGGCUGGUCUGUACUGUCGGAUGCAGAAGGAAAGGCAAAGGAUGGAAGGAGCAAAGCUUUUAAGCUGCCAGUAAGAGACUGUAUUAUCACCACAGGCAAGAGGAGUGCUGAGUAAGGUCUGCAGCAAGAGGUGCGGUUGGAUUUCUGAGGAGCCCACCGUACUCCAAGGAGCAGAAGAACUGGCCCUGUGGCAUCAGCUGCACCAUUUCAGAUUAUAACAUUCCAGUCUAACAUUCCAUUUGAUUCUUUGUUCUCUUUCCCAGCUUCAAGCUUGAAGAGCUGGAGACAGCAGAGAGAGUGGAAGAGUGGGAGGAACAGGAGAUCAGUAAAGUAGAUAAACAGGAAAGAAAGAAACCCUACUUCUUUCUCCAGUGCAGACUUCUGAGACUGAUCAGCCUCUAUGUGGGGCUACAAAAAUUGUAGGCUUUAACAGUUGAAUAUGAAACUAUUUAUUAAACUUCAAGGUGAAGAUAAAAGAUAUGGGAACCUCAUAAGCUUUCAUGCAGAGAGGGAUGAAUUGACAAAGUGGUUUUAAUAGGAUAGCAGGGAGGGGGGAAGGAAACAGCUGCUUUCUAUUUGUACUGACUCCCUCAUUAAAGUCACUGCAUUACAUUCAUCAGAAUUAGGGAUAUUUGGAAUGAAAGUAAUAACUCCAAUUUUAUUUCUUCAAAUGUGAAUUUAUAUGUUAGUUUGGGUUCCUCCAAAACAAGCUGAGAUAAAGAUUAAGAUGCAAUUUAUUUUGGGUGUGAUUCUCAAAAACAGCAGCAGAGGAAUGUGGAAUGAAGGCAGCUAACAAAGAAUUCAUUUUAAAGCAAGUUAUAUGGUUGGUUAGUAGAGCUCAACACCACUGGAAGAACUCUGGAAGUCAGGAUAGGGCACAUGCUUCAGAGUUAUCCCAAUGAAGACAAAAGAGAACUGUGAUGUUCCUAAAUCAACUGCUGUUAGUCUUUGUUAGAGAUCUACACUUGGAGAGGCAUUCAUUCUCUGGCACUUCUAGACUGCAAUAUAGAUGGCAAGAAGACACUGCCAGCAAGAAUAGCUCUCAGGCAAUAUAUAUGCAUGCUGGCAAGAGCUGCACUGCAAUAGGGCAAGAAAAUGUAAACAGGGAACUGACAAAAUCAAGUAUGUACCAUGGAUCAUAUAUUAAGAUGGGAGAGUAAAACAUAGCUCCAUCUUUUCUAUUGGGGAAUUUUAAGAAUAGACGUAAGUUCUCUCUUGGGAAGCUUUAUGUGUAAUGUGUCUGAAGCAAAGAAUAUUGAACAAGUCCUGUGCGUUUCUAUCAGAGCUAUUACAUAUAGUUAUAAAAAGGAGACAUUUUUAUUUGUACUAGAGGUCAGACUUCUCAAGUUUUAAAGUUUAGAAAUGUUUUAAAGGAACAAAAGCCCCAUUUUGAAUAAGAAUAGAAUUUUCUCUGAUACUUAAAGACCAGUAGGAGUUAACUCAGGUCUUUCUAAUUGUUGUAUAUGUGAUAAAAAAGAAGCUAAUGCACUAUUCAAAGUUUAAACAUUAUAUAAUGCUCACUGACACUGUUUUUAAGCAAUUAUUUACAUAACAACUACUUAAGAUAAUCUAUGGAAUAAUUUUAUAUUCAAGAAAUGAACAUAUUUAGGAAACAUAUUAACAUUCAGUAAUUGUUUAUUAAUUUCUAUCAGGUGUUCUUAUAUACUAGACACAAGCCAUGCAGCAGGGCAUAAGGCAGGAGGCAGGAUUCUUGCUCUCUAGUGGGGAAGUUCAAUAUAAAAGGGAAGAAAAUAAAUGACCUAAUUUCACACAGUCACAUAAUAAAUAUAUAAUUACAAACUGAAAAUGCUACAGAGGAAAAAUGGAGUAUACUUGGGAAGUUUAAGUUUUAAGAUGGAUUUUAAUUUUUCAUAUAACUUUCUCUUUUUUUGAAUUCUCCCACAUAUCAUGUUAAUAUGACAAAAUUGACACAUACUCAAGCUCAUGGCUGAAAGUAUAUUUGAAAAGUCAAAUACAUAGAAACAGAAAGUAGAAUUUUGGUUACUAGGCACAGGGAAGGGGAGGAAAUGGGGAGAUAAAGGCCAAAGGGUACAAACAUGCAAUUUGUGGACUACGAGGACUGUAGUUAAUAAUACUGUUUACUGAAAAUUUGCUAAGAGAGUAGAUUUUAGGGGCUUUUACUAUAAAAUAGGUAACUAUGGUAAUAUAUAAGUUAAUUUGCUUGACUGUAGCAAUUAUUUCACUAUGUAUAUCAAAACAUCAUGUUAUAUACCCCAAGUAUAGACAAUAAAAUUAAAAACAGCACAUGUCAACAGAAUUGAGCAGUGUGAAAAAUCAGAUUACCUUUUAGAAAGAACACUUGUACAGCAUUCAGAAUGACUAAAAUUAAAAAAAAUAGCAACAACACAAAUGCUGGUGAGGAUGUAGAGAAACUGGAUCACUCAUGCAUUGCUGGUGGGAAUGCGAAAUUGUUCAGCCAUUCUGGAAAAGUAGUUUGCUUGUUUCUUAAAGAAAACUCAACAUGCAACUACUAUAUGAUUCAACAAUUAUACUCGAGGGUAUGUAACCCAGGGAAACAAAAACUUAUGUUCUCACAAAACCUGCAUAUAAAUGUUUGCAGUAGAUUUAGUAGAUUUGCUAGUCAUGUCUAAAACUGGAAACAACCCAGAUGUUUUUCAGAGUGAAUGGUUAAACACAUAUGGUCCUACCAUAUCACGGAAUACUACUCAGCAAUAAGAAAGAACAAACAAUACAACCAGGAAUCUCCAGAGAAUUAUGUUAAUUGUAAAAGCCAAUCCUAAAAGGUGGCUUAUUAUAUGAUUUCAUUUAUAUGACAGUCUUUAAAAUGCAAAGUUAUAAAAAUGGAAAAUAGAUUACUGGUUGUUUGGGGUUUAGGAGGGAGUGGAAGUGGGAGAGAGGUGAGGGCAAUUAUAAAAGAGCAACAUAAGGAAGCCUUGUGAUGAUGGAAACGUUCUGUAUCUUGACUGUGCCAUUAUCAAUGUCCCAAUUGUGAUAUUUUACUAUAGUAUUGCAAGAUGCUAUCAUUGAGGAAAACGGGGUAAAGGGUACAGGGGGUCACACUGUAUUAUUUCUUACAAGGGCAUGUGAAUUUUCAAUUAUCUCAAAGUAAAAGUUUCAAUUAAAUAGAUAGCAUCUUUUAAAUGCAAGAAUAGGAGGUUAUUUUGUGUACUGGUGGCAGGCAAAAGUUUCUUUUUUCUUAAUAUAGUUUAUAAAGAAAAUAGAUACAUUAAAUAUCAAAAUUAAUACCUUUUGUUGAUCAAAAUAAAUAUACCCUUAAGAAAAUGAAUAGGCAAGGCAGAAUUUGUAGAAAACAAAUCAAACAAAACGUAUAUCCACAAUCUAUGUCUAUACCUAUACUUCAUUUUUUAUUUUUCAUAAAUAAAAAUAAAACAAUAAAAGGUGGGCAGAAUAACUGGCAAGAAACUUUAUGAACAUUUAUGAAUGCCCAAAAAAAGACAUACAAGUCUUUAUCCUCAUCAUUUAUUGAAUAAAUACAAAUGGAAAUCAAAGUCAAAUACCACUAGAUACUUAUUAGAAUAGAUAAAAUCUAAAAACUGAAAACAUUGAAUGUUGGCCAGCUUGUGGCACACCUGGAACUCUCAUGUGUUGUUGGUGGGAAUGUCAAAGUCUACCGCUUGUCAAAAUCUUUCUUUGAAAGUUCGG